GACGAACGCUGGCGGCGUGCUUAACACAUGCGAGUCGAACGGAAAGGCCCUGCUUUUGUGGGGUGCUCGAGUGGCGAACGGGUGAGUAACACGUGAGUAACCUGCCCUUGACUUUGGGAUAACUUCAGGAAACUGGGGCUAAUACCGGAUAGGAGCUCCUGCUGCAUGGUGGGGGUUGGAAAGUUUCGGCGGUUGGGGAUGGACUCGCGGCUUAUCGGCUUGUUGGUGGGGUAGUGGCUUACCAAGGCUUUGACGGGUAGCCCGCCUGAGAGGGGGACCGGGCACAAUGGGACUAAGGUACGGCGCAGACGCCUACGGGAGGCAGCAGUCGGGAAUAUUGCGCAAUGGGCGGGAGCCUGAUGCAGCAACGCCGCGUGCGGGAUGACGGCCUUCGGGUUGUAAACCGCUUUCGCCUGUGACGAAGCGUGAGUGACGGUAAUGGGUAAAGAAGCACCGGCUAACUACGUG
rnacentral:rRNA from 1 species